AUUGAACGCUGGCGGCAGGCUUAACACAUGCAAGUCGAACGAGUGGCGGACGGGUGAGUAAUGCUUGGGAAUCUGGCUUAUGGAGGGGGAUAACUACGGGAAACUGUAGCUAAUACCGCGUACCAUAGGAUGAGCCCAAGGGGGGUUAGGUAGUUGGUGAGGUAAAGGCUCACCAAGCGGACGAUCUCUAGCUGGUCUGAGAGGGUGACCAGCCACACUGGAACUGAGACACGGCCCAGACUCCUAGGGGCGGCAGCAGUGGGGAAUAUUGCGCGAUGGGGGCAACCGAACGCAGCCGUGCCGCAUGAAUGAAGAAGGCCUUCGGGUUGUAAAGUACUUUCGGUAGCGAGGCGUUAACUACAGAAGAAGCACCGGCUAACUCCGUGCCAGCCGCCGCGAUAAUAC
rnacentral:rRNA from 1 species